GACGAACGCUGGCGGCGUGCUUAACACAUGCAAGUCGAACGGCGAGGGGCACGGGUGAGUAACACGUCGGCGAUCCGCCCUGCACUUAGGGAUAAGCUAGGGGAACUGGGACCAAUACCCGACAUUGCAAGCUGAGCUCCCGGCCUAUCAGCUCGUUGGUGGGGUAAUGGCCUACCAAGGCGUCGCCGGCUAGCCGGCCUGAGAGGGUGUACGGGGACGUUGGGCCUGGGGUACGGCCCAGACUCCUACGGGGGGCAGCGGUGGGGAAUAUUGCACAAUGGUCGGAAGCCUAAUGCAGCGACGCCGCGUGGGGGAUGUAGGUCUUCGGGUUGUAAACUCCUUUCGGCAGGGACGCGGUACCUGUAUAAGAAGCACCGGCUAACUCCGUGCCAGCAGCCGCGGUAAUUC
rnacentral:rRNA from 1 species